CUCGCCUCCCCUUGACGUGGCAAAGGCGGCACCAGCCGGGCCGGCCUGGCCGAGGUCCUCGCGGAGGCCGGAGGCGGGGCGGCGCCGGCCCGGAUUGCGGUGCCACGGCUGCUCCUGCUCGGUAGAGCGGACUGACUUCGCCGGGCGGAGGCUGCGGCUGGCUCGGAUCUCGUCGUAGGGCGCUGAAGUAAGAAUCAAGCUGUACAAUGACAACCUAUUUGGAAUUCAUCCAACAAAAUGAAGAACGAGAUGGAGUCCGAUUUAGUUGGAACGUUUGGCCAUCAAGUCGACUGGAAGCCACUAGAAUGGUUGUUCCAGUGGCAGCCCUAUUUACACCACUGAAAGAGAGACCUGACUUACCUCCCAUUCAGUACGAACCUGUUCUGUGCAGUAGGACCACCUGCCGUGCAGUUUUGAAUCCUUUAUGUCAAGUGGAUUAUCGAGCAAAACUGUGGGCUUGCAACUUUUGUUAUCAGAGGAAUCAGUUUCCACCUACUUAUGCUGGGAUAUCUGAACUGAAUCAGCCUGCUGAACUUUUGCCUCAGUUUUCUAGCAUUGAAUAUGUAGUUCUGCGUGGUCCUCAGAUGCCUUUGAUAUUUCUCUAUGUUGUUGAUACUUGCAUGGAAGAUGAUGAUUUACAAGCCCUGAAAGAAUCCAUGCAGAUGUCCUUAAGUCUCUUGCCACCUACGGCUUUGGUUGGACUUAUUACUUUUGGGAGAAUGGUGCAGGUUCAUGAACUUGGAUGUGAAGGCAUUUCAAAAAGUUACGUCUUCAGAGGAACAAAGGAUUUGUCUGCCAAACAACUGCAGGAAAUGCUGGGGCUUUCUAAAGUACCAGUUACUCAGGCAACACGUGGUCCUCAGGUACAGCAGCCACCUCCUUCCAACAGAUUCUUACAGCCAGUACAGAAAAUAGACAUGAAUCUCACAGAUCUUCUGGGAGAACUUCAGCGAGAUCCUUGGCCUGUCCCUCAGGGAAAGAGACCCUUGCGUUCCUCAGGAGUGGCCCUUUCCAUAGCCGUAGGGCUACUGGAGUGUACUUUUCCCAACACUGGUGCUCGUAUCAUGAUGUUCAUUGGCGGUCCUGCCACCCAGGGACCUGGCAUGGUGGUUGGAGACGAAUUGAAGACACCUAUAAGAUCAUGGCAUGACAUUGAAAAGGACAGUACCAAAUAUGUAAAAAAGGGAACUAAGCAUUUUGAAGCAUUGGCUAAUCGAGCUGCUACAACUGGCCAUGUUAUUGACAUCUAUGCCUGCGCAUUAGAUCAGACGGGUCUCCUGGAGAUGAAAUGCUGUCCCAACCUUACUGGAGGAUACAUGGUAAUGGGUGACUCUUUCAACACUUCCUUAUUCAAACAAACUUUUCAAAGAGUUUUCACCAAAGAUAUGCAAGGACAAUUUAAAAUGGGCUUUGGUGGGACAUUAGAAAUAAAGACCUCAAGGGAGAUAAAAAUUUCAGGAGCUAUUGGACCUUGUGUGUCUCUCAAUUCUAAAGGACCCUGUGUGUCUGAAAAUGAGAUAGGGACAGGUGGCACUUGUCAGUGGAAGAUAUGUGGACUCAGUCCCACUACAACCCUAGCCAUAUAUUUUGAGGUUGUUAAUCAGCACAAUGCUCCAAUUCCUCAAGGAGGACGCGGUGCAAUCCAAUUUGUGACCCAGUAUCAGCAUUCCAGUGGGCAGAGACGCAUCCGAGUGACCACCAUUGCUAGGAAUUGGGCAGAUGCUCAAACUCAAAUCCAGAAUAUUGCUGCGUCCUUUGACCAGGAGGCAGCUGCCAUUCUUAUGGCUCGGCUGGCAAUAUAUAGAGCAGAGAUAGAGGAAGGGCCAGACGUGCUUAGAUGGCUGGACCGACAGCUCAUCAGGCUGUGUCAGAAAUUUGGAGAAUAUCACAAAGAUGAUCCAAGUUCCUUCAGAUUUUCAGAAACUUUCUCCCUUUAUCCACAGUUUAUGUUUCAUUUAAGAAGAUCUCCUUUCUUGCAAAUUUUUAAUAACAGUCCUGAUGAGAGUUCAUAUUAUCGUCACCAUUUUAUGCGUCAAGAUCUGACCCAGUCUCUAAUCAUGAUUCAGCCUAUUCUGUAUGCAUAUUCUUUUAGUGGACCACCGGAGCCAGUUCUCCUGGAUAGCAGCAGCAUUCUUGCAGAUCGCAUUCUUCUCAUGGACACAUUCUUCCAGAUUUUGAUCUAUCACGGUGAGACCAUAGCACAGUGGCGGAAGUCGGGGUAUCAGGACAUGCCGGAGUACGAGAAUUUCCGGCACCUUCUUCAGGCCCCGGUGGAUGACGCGCAGGAGAUCCUGCACUCGAGGUUCCCGAUGCCGCGGUACAUCGACACCGAGCACGGCGGCAGUCAGGCCCGUUUCCUGCUUUCCAAAGUCAACCCUUCACAGACUCAUAAUAAUAUGUAUGCCUGGGGGCAGCCGCUGCUUAGAUCUUUUGGCCAAAUUGGACGUCUUACUCUACUUCAAACACACUGAGCAUCUUCCCAUCUUCGUGGCUGGAAUUCUGUAAUGAAAAAUGUGAUUUAAUUCAUGGACCAAAUACUUCUUGGAAAUGAUGACUUCUUGUUUGAGUCUGGAGCACCUAUUCUCACAGAUGAUGUUAGUUUGCAAGUAUUUAUGGAUCACCUGAAGAAACUUGCUGUGUCAAGUGCUGCUUGACAUGCUCAGCGUGUUCAGGACACUUAAGAUGAAAUAAUAUCUCAACUUCAGUUUUUCUUUAUUCAAUUUUUUCUUUUCUUUUCUUUCUUUCUUUCUUUUUUUUUUUGAGACAAGGUUUGCCUCUGUAGCUCAGGCUGGCCUUGAACUUGCUGUGUAGCCCAGGCUGGCCUUGAACAUAUGAUCCUCCUGCCUCAGCCUCCUGAGUACUGGGAUUACAGGUGUGCACCACCAUGCCCAGCUCCUUUUUCAGUUUAUCUGUGGAAACCGACAGAGAUAUCUCAAAACUUUUUUUUGGUGUCAGUAUGAUUUGAGAUGACAUGCAAAAAAAGUUCGCGUUUGUAGAGUAAGCUGAAGUAUAAUGAGAGCAAUGAGAACAAAUUUGUUUUAUUUGCCACAGUAUUAAAACUGGUUUUAGAAAUUUGAGUUCUAUAUAACUUAUGUUUAAGAGUAAGAUCUGUCUGCCUUGUACUACAGAUAUAACUUACCUUGUAUAUUGCAGACAAAUCAAAAGUGGCACUGAAUGUCCUCCUGACCUUUUAAAACCUAUUCAAUUUUAGCCAGAAAGGAACAAAUCAAUAGUGGUAAAUGUGAACAUUUUUGCAUAUUUGCUGACUAUUUUUCUGUGAUUUUUCAGCACUUAUGUAUGCCCUUGUUUUGUGCUUGCUCUGUUGAAGUGGAUUUAUUUUUAUGAUUUGUUUGAAAUUAUCUGACUUUAUAAUGGUAAUUUUCAUAAAGAUAAUAUCAUGUUUUUUGUUUAUUUGGAAAAAUUGUUUAGAGAUGAAGAAAUAUUUGGGGCAGGGAUGAUAAUCCCACAACUGACAGUAAAUGUGAAAUUCUUACUAAGUACCCGGUUUAUGUGACUAACUACAACACUUUUUUUUUUAAAGAAAAGAUUGCUAGAAAAUAAAGCAUUUUGUCACAGUACAUAAAGAAAGCCUUUGCAGUAAAAUGAAAAUUGUAACUGCUAAACCAAAAUUGGUUUUCAUUACAUUAUUUUGAUGUCUCCCCUUUUUCUGAGGUAAAUUUUACAUUAUAUCCUUCAGUAUUUUAACACUAUAUUGGGAGCCUACACAGUUCCUUUUUCCUCCUGCUUCCUUUUUUAUGAAAUUUAUUAAGAUUCUUAUUGAAACAGUAUUAUGUAAUGUUUGUUUAAUUGUGUCAUGUGAUACACAGUUUUAUUUUGAUUUAUUCAUUGAUAAUCAUUCACUUUUAUGUUCUAAGGUUUACUUGUAGCAAAUAUGUUUACAUUGCUAAGGCCAGAUAUGAUUUGACAAUAAAAUUCACAUAUCAAGUGCUGAAAUGAAAGGUGGUGCUCUGAUACAUGAUUAGAGAGACAGUUUUGAUGAUUGUACUCACAUGAACACAAUCACAGGAUGGUAAAACAGAAACUUGUAAUUAUUUAUAUUAUAUUCAUUUAGUUUAACUUUGUUCCAUCGUAUUUGAAUUGAACUGUGCUAGGCCAAAAUGCCAAUAAAAUACGCUCUUCUCUGA